CAGGUUAAACAUUAGAAAUGUUUACCAAAUGUUUAUGGGCCUGAGCUGAUUAAUACAUCAGUGCAGAGUGAAGUAAUUUAGCCCUACAUUAUGGAGCGCUCAGAAUUUGACACAUUUUAUUAUUGAAGAUUGUGUCUUAGCAUUGCUUAAAUAAAUGUUUUUUUUUAAUUAUUUAAAUAUAUUUAAUGUAAAUAUAGGCCUACUAUAAUCAGUUUUGAUAUACAUUCUUGUCUACUCUGAUGUUUUAAACACGCUAUGGUCAUUAAAAUGUGCUGUGAAAGCAUAGAAAAGGCACAGAAAAUAAUUUAAAUUUAUAGGUUAACACUAUUUGUAAUCUACAUGUGUAUACAUAUUUUACCCUUGUUUUCUUUUUUUCCAGAGGGAAUUAUAAAAUAAGCUAAAGACUUUCAUGUUUACUACAACUUAAUUAUUAAUCAUGUACCAGUGUUUUAUAGCAAAUGUAACCAAAAAAUGUCCCACAUUAUAUGUCCCAGGUUAUAAUUUUUUGCAUUGUCAGCGAUACCAGACGCACAUUCACACACACAAUGGAAACAUGAACAGCUAGACGUGCUAAUGAAACGUAAAAUACUACUGCUUUUACUACUGUUGAUGUUUGGUGCAGCCAUCUUGCGUUCUGAACUUGUGGGUUUAUUCCAGUUGAAAUGUUCUACUUAGAACUUGGAAAUUUCCAGUUCUGAAUUCCUACUUCAGAUGGAAUGCAGUAUAAGGAUUCACAUUAGAGCUCGACCCAACCUGCCCCAUACACUGUCAUUUUGAGCCAAAGCCCGAAUUAAACCUGACAUUUUUUGAGUAAGUAGAGCAUUAAAACUGAGCUUUUAAAAAACAUUUUCGUUCUGUUUAGAAUGAGUGAAGAAUGAAUAAGACCUAUUAUUUAAGAAAAAUAUUAUUAAUUAUUAGGAACAGAUCUCCAAAAGAUUAUAACAUGAACAAUGCAAACAAUGAUCCAAAGGCCUAAACAUUAGGCUACAACAAUGUCUGAAUGACUUUCCUCUAAUCUAGUAUAAUAUAACAUGGUUUAAGAAAAGAAAAUAAAUUCUUUUAUAAUUUUAUUUAUAUUUUUUUCCCAUUUUCUCCCCAAUUUACACAGCCAACCCACUCGUUAGGACUCCCCCUAUCACUAGUAAUGCCCCAACACACCAGGAGGAUGAAGACUAGCACACUCUUUCUCCGAUACAUGUGAAGUCAGCCACCGCUUCUUUUCGAGCUGCUGCUGAUGCAGCAUUGCCAAGCAGCCAGCACAUUUGGAGGAAAGCGCAGCGGCAGGUGAACCCGAGGAACCUGAGGAAAGUGGUGGGAAAUCUCGAGCCAGUGACAUGUUGAACUACACUGCCAGUUUGAGGGAAUGUCAUUGCCAUCAAAUUCAGAAGGUGAACCACAUGACUCCUCAGAGGUGCAGAGCUUCUCUCAGCUUAA